rnacentral:lncRNA from 1 species
AAAAUCUUUCUGAAUUUUUUACUUAAUUAGCUUAAUUUUGUAGCUAUUUAUUCUUAUAUUCUUAAGAAAUAUGAAUAUUUAUGCUAAUAGCAUAAAUCUUGAGAGAAAAAAAAUUUAAUUUAAUAGCCGAAUUUUUUAUCCCAAAUUUUUAAUUGGCGAACGUAUAUUAUCCGUAUAAAUCACGUAUCCGAAUAAUUGAUGAAUCCAUUUUUUAGCCAUAUUUUUCAACGAAUUUAAAAUUAGAAGACGAAUUUUAUUCGAAUUAUACCCGUACCGAAUUUUUGCCGAAUCUGAAUUAACUAACUAUACUUGGCUCCAAGUGCGGCUAGGAUGCUUAUGGAAAUACGGAGGGCUCCGUGCUUUCACUUUGUUUUCGAUAUUCGGACUUUCGAAUUGACGAUCGGCUCCAUUAGACUUGAUCUAGAGUAUUUGAAGUAUCUGGAAAAUAAAUUUUGCGAUUUUUCGAUAUCAUUUGCCUAGUAAUCGAAGUGGCUCAAAAUCAACGGCUGAAAAUAAAAAUCUUACAAAAUAUGAUGAUAUGACAAUAAAAUUUUAGAUCAAAGUUAUUGAUCUUGUUUUAUAUAGUAUAAAGAAUUUUCUAUCAAAAUUUCAUGUGAUUUAGAUAUUUCUACACCGUUAAACUUACAACCGGCUCACCACGGCCGUUAAAAUUAUUGAUUUUGAGCAACUUCGAUCACUAGUCAAAUGAUAUCAAAAAUCACAAAAUUUAUUUUCUAGGUACUUCAAAUAUUCUAGAUCAACUCUAAGGGAGCCGAUCGUCGAUUCGAAAAUCCGAACAUCGAAAAUAAUUUGGAAGCUUCUCUCAGCAUACCAGCCCACUCCUU